GACGUAGGGCGCGAGCGUUGUCCGGAUUUAUUGGGCGUAAAGAGCUCGUAGGCGGCUUGGCAAGUCGGGUGUGAAACCUCCAGGCUCAACCUGGAGACGCCACUCGAUACUGCCAUGGCUAGAGUCCGGUAGGGGACCACGGAAUUCCUGGUGUAGCGGUGAAAUGCGCAGAUAUCAGGAGGAACACCGGUGGCGAAAGCGGCUCACUGGACCAUAACUGACGCUGAGGCGCGAAAGCUAGGGGAGCAAACAGG
rnacentral:rRNA from 1 species